AUUGAACGCUGGCGGCAUGCUUUACACAUGCAAGUCGAACGGCAGCACGAAAGAGCUUGCUCUUUUGGUGGCGAGUGGCGAACGGGUGAGUAAUGCAUCGGAACGUACCGAGUAAUGGGGGAUAACUAUCCGAAAGGAUAGCUAAUACCGCAUACGCUUUGAGAAGGAAAGUGGGGGCUCUUCGGACCUCACGUUAUUCGAGCGGCCGAUGUCUGAUUAGCUAGUUGGUGGGGUAAGGGCCUACCAAGGCGACGAUCAGUAGCGGGUCUGAGAGGAAGAUCCGCCACACUGGGACUGAGACACGGCCCAGACUCCUACGGGAGGCAGCAGUGGGGAAUUUUGGACAAUGGGCGCAAGCCUGAUCCAGCCAUGCCGCGUGUCUGAAGAAGGCCUUCGGGUUGUAAAGGACUUUUGUUAGGGAAGAAAAGGAUAGUGUUAAUACCCAUUAUCUGCUGACGGUACCUAAAGAAUAAGC
rnacentral:rRNA from 1 species